rnacentral:rRNA from 1 species
GCGGUGGAGCAUGUGGUUUAAUUCGAAGCAACGCGAAGAACCUUACCAGGUCUUGACAUCCCCUGACAACCCGAGAGAUCGGGCGUCCCCCUCGGGGGGACAGGGUGGCAGGUGGUGCAUGGUUGUCGUCAGCUCGUGUCGUGAGAUGUUGGGUUAAGUCCCGCAACGAGCGCAACCCUCGCCUCUAGUUGCCAGCAUUCGGUUGGGCACUCUAGAGGGACUGCCGGCGACAAGUCGGAGGAAGGUGGGGAUGACGUCAAAUCAUCAUGCCCCUUAUGACCUGGGCUACACACGUGCUACAAUGGGCGGUACAAAGGGCUGCGAACCCGCGAGGGGGAGCGAAUCCCAAAAAGCCGCUCUCAGUUCGGAUUGCAGGCUGCAACUCGCCUGCAUGAAGCCGGAAUCGCUAGUAAUCGCGGAUCAGCAUGCCGCGGUGAAUACGUUCCCGGGCCUU